rnacentral:snoRNA from 1 species
UAGCUAUGAUGAACAACCUUCGUGUACCAAAUGACGAUCUCCUUGAUCCGUCGGUGACGGCAACACAACCUCUAAGAAGUUCUGAGCAG